GAAGAAUUUAAGAGCCAGAAGAGGGAGGGAGCAGCGUGGAACUUUGCUCCAGGCAGGACAUGGCCAUUUCAUUUUUGAACUCAUGGCUCUGUGGAAAUGAUAUUAUCUCUUUCAUUGGUCACCAACUCUGCAACAGCCGUGAUGUGCCUCAUUUCCCAGUUGAGGAGAAUGGAGUUCUGUGAGUCUAAGUGACACAUACAAGGUCACAUCAUAAGUGGAGAAGGGAUUUGAAAUUUAAAGUCUAUUUCAAAUGUCAACAUGGCAGGCAUUGCAGAAAUUUUAUUAUGUGUUUUUAACUUUCGAUAGAAUGGUAGAAGUCAAUAUGCUCUGGCCAGCUGCAAAGUGAAGGCUGUGUACACAGACUAGUGUGGAGCCUGGGAAUAAAAUUCAGGUAAUAUAUGGCUGUUUCCUUUGAGGAUAAAAGAGGAAGAAAGCUCCUUAAGACACAAGAUGUUCUAAGAGGAGGUGAAACAUUCCGACCUGUAGGGAAUCUCUUUUAGUUCAGAAAGUGAACAACUCAAAGGCAUUAGGAAGUUCCUGAAACUGACCAGAUUUACUAACCUCCUUUCCAGAUUAUAUAAGAAGGACUGCUGAGAGAUAGUCUCAGAUGAGCUAAGUCCUCUAGAAGAGGCUCAGAGCAGCUGAGCCACUUGGAAGAAACAGAGACCAGCUGAGGGGCUUAGAAGAGACAGAGACAAGCAGAGCUGCCUGAAGAGACCAUGACCAGCAGUGUUGUCUGGAAGAGGAGUAAAUCUAUUGAGCUGCCUGUAGAUUGCUUCCCAGAUUCCUAUCGUUUGUUAGCUGUCAAUCAUGCUGGUGGGCUUUGGUGAUGCAGCUGUCUUUGAGUCAUUUCUGCUCCUGUAGGUGACCCUCAGCCAUUCUUUUAUGUGUAACUGCAGUAAAACUCAUUGACUCACCAAA